GCACGAAGUCGGAAUUGCUAGUAAUCGCGGAUCAGCAUGCCGCGGUGAAUACGUUCCCGGGCCUUGUACACACCGCCCGUCACACCAUGAGAGUCGGGAACACCCGAAGUCGGUAGUCUAACCUCUGAGGACGCCGCCGAAGGUGGGCUUGAUAAUUGGGGUGAAGUCGUAACAAGGUAGC
rnacentral:rRNA from 1 species